rnacentral:sRNA from 1 species
GCCCUCUUGCCCUUUCCCACUUUCCCUGCACUCCAUUCUCCUAUCUUGUACUGUACUUUUUGCACCGUUUCCCUCUCAAGUUUCCCCUGCAGCGGCUUCGCUGAAACGAACAUACAUACUUCUCCGGGUAACCAACCACCUACAUAUAUCUAUAAUUUUGUAUACCUAUUUAGUCAAACCGGUUUCGUCUGUCUCGUUUCACCCUCCCUCCCAACGGGUCUCGCUCCCCUCCCCGCUGCCCCCUUUUCUCCAGCUUACACAGGCCGCUGCAUAUCGCAUACACAUAACGCAUAACAGAACGCCAUCCCCGUCCUCUCCAACCCGCUGGCCCCCUUCUUCCUUGCUGCCAGUUGUCCCCUCGUUCGCUGAAACAUAGAAAGGGCGCGCGCGUGCCUCCUAAAAUACAGAACGGAAGCUAAGGACCAAGCAAAAUAAAAAGUAGCAAGGAUAAGCACAAAAGGCGCCUAGAUAUCCCUAGAAGCUUGGUAUUCUUCAACUCUCUCCCAGAAGACAAUCCCCCGAGGAUCUAGACGAUCCAGGCCGUACCCUGACCCGAAAUCGAGAGCGGCAAUGAUGUCCACAGCCAUGAUGCAUCAAACGCGCACACCUGCGGCUGCAGUAGGAGCAAUCACCCGCCAUCCUCCAGCAUGGGAGGACCGAAGUUCCCCUCGCACCAUGCCACCACCACGCAUUUCCACGUU